rnacentral:rRNA from 1 species
GAUGAACGCUGGCGGCGUGCCUAAUACAUGCAAGUCGAGCGAACAGACGAGGAGCUUGCUCCUCUGACGUUAGCGGCGGACGGGUGAGUAACACGUGGAUAACCUACCUAUAAGACUGGGAUAACUUCGGGAAACCGGAGCUAAUACCGGAUAAUAUAUUGAACCGCAUGGUCCAAUAGUGAAAGACGGUUUUGCUGUCACUUAUAGAUGGAUCCGCGCCGCAUUAGCUAGUUGGUAAGGUAACGGCUUACCAAGGCAACGAUGCGUAGCUGACCUGAGAGGGUGAUCGGCCACACUGGAACUGAGACACGGUCCAGACUCCUACGGGAGGCAGCAGUAGGGAAUCUUCCGCAAUGGGCGAAAGCCUGACGGAGCAACGCCGCGUGAGUGAUGAAGGUCUUCGGAUCGUAAAACUCUGUUAUUAGGGAAGAACAAAUGUGUAAGUAACUAUGCACGUCUUGACGGUACCUAAUCAGAAAGCCACGGCUAACUACGUG